CGGAUUCAUAGUUUUUGUCGCUGGAUGGGAGUCUCUUCAUAAUAUCUUCUUCAUUUGACUUCUUUUAUGCAAUUUCUUUGAUCAUUUUCUUUUGCGCACAUACUGUGACAUAUAGUCUCAUCCUCUAACUUAAGUUGCAUUCUUUGCAGGUUGUUUUUGAUCAUGAUGGUAAGAGUUGUUAUUGUAUCAUUUCUUUCUCUUUGACCAUUCUCAGUUUUCGUCUUUGUUAUGUCUUGAGCUUUUGGCUUCGUUUCUCUAAUUGCAUCGCCAUUGUUUCAUGCGUAUCACUUUUUGAUUUGACAGAGCCUAUGCAGUUUUGGUGUAUGUUUUUCCUUGCUUAUCUCAUUUUUAUCGAUACAAUUCUCUGCUGUUAUUGUACUUCCUAAAGCAUUUGAUAUAGUUAUAAUCCUGAAACGUUAUUUAUCAAAGGCAAUAUGUUAUUCAGAAUUUGUGAC
rnacentral:lncRNA from 1 species